UCCCCCUUUAAUUUCAUUUUUCCCCUUUUAUUUUAUUUUUCCUUUUAUUUCAUUUUUCUCCUUUUAUUUUAUUUCCCCCCCCUUUUAUUUUAUUUUUUUUAUUUUAAUUUAAUUUAAUUUUUCCCCCUUUUAUUUCAUUUUACUUUAUUUUUCUCCUUUUAUUUUAUUUUCCUCCCCUUUAUUUUAUUUUAUUUCAUUUUUCCCCCUUAUUUUUUCCCCUUUAUUUUAUUUUAUUUCCCCCUUUUAUUUUAUUUCAUUUUAUUUCAUUUUUCCCCUUUAUUUCAUUUUUUCCCCUUUAUUUUUUCCCCUUUUUUUUUAUUUUAUUUCAAUUUUUCCCCCUUUUUAAUUUCAUUUCCCCCCUUUAUUUUCUUUUAUUUUCCCCCCUUUUAUUUAAUUUUCCCCCCCUUUAUUUUUCCCCUUUUAUUUUAUUUUUCCCCCUUUUUAUUUCCUUUUAUUUCAUUUUUUCCCCUUUAUUUCAUUUUUUUCCUUUUAUUUCAUUUUUCCCCUUUAUUUCAUUUUUUUCCCUUCUAUUUCAUUUUUUCCUUUUAUUUCAUUUUUCCCCUUUAUUUCAUUUUUUCCCUUUAUUUUAUUUCAUUUUUUCCCCUUUUAUUUCAUUUUAUUUCAUUUUUUCCCUUUUAUUUCAUUUUUUCCCUUUUAUUUGAUUUCCCCCCUUUAUUUUAUUUUUUCCCCUUUUAUUUCAUUUUUCCCUCUUUAUUUUAUUUCCUUUUUUCCCCUUUAUUUUAUUUCCUUUUUUCCCCUUUAUUUUAUUUCCUUUUCCCUUUAUUUUAUUUCAUUUUCCCUUUAUUUCAUUUCCUUUUUUCCCCUUUAUUUUAUUUUUCCCCUUUUUAUUUCAUUUUAUUUCAUUUUCCCCCCUUUAUUUUAUUUCAUUUUAUUUCAUUUUUUCCCCUUUAUUUUAUUUCAUUUUUCCCUUUUUAUUCCCUUUUUUCCCUUUCCCGGGGCUCUGGGGGGAGUCCCAGGGGGUUUAUUUUGAUUUCCCCCUCCCCUCACUCUUUAGAGGCCUAAUUUUAUAUCUAUUAAAAAAAAAACCACCACAAAUGAACCAAAACUUGGACGUUUCAACCUAAAAAAAAACCCACAAAACCCACAAAAAAAGCCAAGAAUUGUAAAAGUUUGAAUAUUGAAGAUAUAUAUUAUAUAUAAAUGCAAUAAAAACCGACAGAACCAGGCUGGGGGUCCCCCA
rnacentral:lncRNA from 1 species